rnacentral:rRNA from 1 species
AUUGAACGCUGGCGGCAGGCCUAACACAUGCAAGUCGAACGAGUGGCGGACGGGUGAGUAAUGUAUGGGACACUGCCCGGUGGAGGGGGAUAACUACUGGACACGGUAGCUAAUUACGCCUAAGAUCGGCUGUGCCCAGAUGGGCUUAGCUAGUAGGUGGGGUAACGGCUGACCUAGGCGACGAACCCUAGCUGGUCUGAGAGGAUGACCAGUCAAACUGGAACGGAGACACGGGCCAGACUCCUACGGGAGGCAGCAGUGGGGAAUAUUGCACAAUGGGCGCAAGCCUGAUGCAGCCAUGCCGCGUGUAUGAAGAAGGCCUUCGGGUUGUAAAGUACUUUCAGCGAGGAGGCGUUACUCGCAGAAGAAGCACCGGCGAACUCCGUGACAGCAGCCGCGGUAAUAC